GUGCCAGCCGCCGCGGUAAUACGUAGGUGGCAAGCGUUGUCCGGAUUUAUUGGGCGUAAAGGGAGCGCAGGCGGUGAUUUAAGUCUGAUGUGAAAGCCCACGGCUCAACCGUGGAGGGUCAUUGGAAACUGGAUCACUUGAGUACAGAAGAGGAAAGCGGAAUUCCAUGUGUAGCGGUGAAAUGCGUAGAUAUAUGGAGGAACACCAGUGGCGAAGGCGGCUUUCUGGUCUGAAACUGACGCUGAGGCUCGAAAGCGUGGGGAGCAAACAGGAUUAGAUACCCCCGUAGUCC
rnacentral:rRNA from 1 species